CUCAACGAUAACAGUAAUAUGGGAAGUGCUGUUGUAAAGGCGCCAGUCCUCAACUACUACUACUAGCACUACAACAACUGCUGCCAUAACGUUGUCAAAUGUUUAUACCUCUCACGUCAGGUAGUGAUACAAAGUCUUAAGUCACUUCCGUGGUGCAAUGGAAGCUCCGGAGAGUCCAUCAGAUGUAGAAGAUUCAAAAGCACCUGAGGAUUUGGAGCAAGGUAUUGAGGAUUUGCAGGACGGAAAGGAUGGCGACAUCUCGACAAGUAAAGCUGAUAAUAUCUUUAAAGUCCCCGAGGACAUUGCAUUCAAGAGACCCAUAUUCACCAAGAAGAUUGCCACUGGAACCACAACUCCAAGUAAUAAGACACCUGCAUCAACUAAGAAAAGUGCCGUCGCAGCCCCCGUCUCAAGUGAUCAGCAAAGCGAAGCCCCUCUCGAGAGCUCGUGUGCUACGGAAGAGUCCAAGAAUUCGAGCAUCAGUGGCAAGUCUCCUGCUCAGCUGAUUCUAGAGAAGUCGGUGCCUCUCCCAUAUAAGGAACCUGCUUGGAGUGGGCUGCCAAAAAAUGGCUAUUCUUUUGAAAUCCUUAAGAACGGAAUGAUAGUGGGGACCAUCCCUCUGGACAAACCUUUCAUUGUGGUUGGUCGUCUUUCUCAGUGUGAUAUUGUCAUGGAACAUCCUUCCCUCUCCAGAUUCCACUGUGUGAUCCAGUACCGUGGAGAACCUUCACCAGAUGGCAAUGAGGAGGAGGGCUUUUAUGCUUAUGACUUGGGAAGCACCCACGGUUCUUUCCACAACAAGCACCAGAUGAAGCCGCACACGUACUACCGACUUCGUGUCGGCCACAUUGUCAAAUUUGGGGGGAGUUCGCGCAUGCUUAUUUUACAGGGGCCCAUUGAAGACCAGGAACCUGAAUCUGAGAUGACAGUUACAGAACUGAAAGCAGAAGCGGCAAAACGUGCAAAGAAGCUGAAUGCCUUAGAAACGGGAGAGAUCGAGGAAGAGGACAGGGAUCGAAGGCUUCAAGAAGGUGAUGUCAAUGAGCAAGAUAGUGGUCUGUCAAGUGAUGGCAUUGACUGGGGAAUGGGAGAGGAUGCUGAGGAAGAAGGCGAGAACGAUGUAAAUCCGUUUGCAACCUUGAACGAAGAGCUUUACCUAAAUGACCCUAAGAAGUCCCUCCGAGGAUGGUUUGAGCGGGAGGGUUACGAUCUUCCCGAGUAUGUUGCGGAAGAUGUGAGCCCUGGGGUUUACAAGUGCAAAGUAGAACUUCCUAUACCUGGUCCUGGUGGUGGCCCUUUAGUAGCCAUCAUUGAACAUAGAGGGAAGAAAAAAGCUGCCGUAAUUCAGUGUGCCUUGGAAGCGUGCAGAUUGCUUGAUAAACAUGGAGUUCUUCGCCAAGCAAAACAUGAGCCCCGCAGGAAAAGGAAAGAUCGCUCCGAGGACGACUUCUAUUCGGAUUCCGACGAUGAGUUCUUGGAUCGCACUGGCGAUGUCCAGCGGAAAAGAUUGCAGCGUAUGAAGGCUGCAACAAAAGGGAAUGAAGUCACUGCUGAAAACUACGAGUCACUGCUGUCAAAGUACCUCUCAGUUACAAGUGAACUCUCCUCACUGGAAAAGAAGUUGUCCGAGGCUUCCCAGUCGGAGAAACAGGGACAGGGAGAUGGCGCAGAAGAGGAUGACCUGGAUUCUUACAUGCAGACACUGAAGAGUCAGGUCCCUGAUAAACACAAGCGUGUCAAAUGGAAGCUCAGAGUGAUUGAGCUUCGUAAAGAAGAACUCUCAUUGAGGAAACUUGUUAAUAUUGCAAGACCGUACAACAAGCCUGAGUUGCAGCCUUACAUCUCAGAAUUUGACUCGCAGCCAAAUCUACCUGGAAAACAUCCCUUCCAGAAGAUGCAGAAUGAAUCGUCAAAACCUCCUCAGAGCUGAACUGUUGAAUGCAGUUACAAGAAUAGUCAUAUGGUGCUGGUUAAGGGCGAGUUGGGGAACCCUACAUCCUACUCAAAGAUGCAUUUCUGCUUUAUCUUCACCUCAAGGACUUAGCAGGAUGGUCGUAAGAGAAUCCAUCACGCCUUCAUGGAAGAAGAACCAGAGAUUAAGAUUAAAUUGAGUCGACUCGACGAAGAUACAUAAUAUAUUUACAGAUAAAGAUACACUUGGUAUGUAUUAUAUAGAAAAAUGACAAGAAACUUUCAACAUUACUCAUAAGGAAUAAGUCCCUGUACUGGAAUUUGAAUGUGAUAAAGUGUUUUGAUGAUCCAGUAUCUUACAUUUAUAAUAAAAAUGCAUACAUUAAAUUAAGCUAACUAA